GAACAGAGACAGAAGAACAGAAACUCCUCCUUCACAUGGGAAUAUGUUCCGGCUCAGGAUGAUUCCUCUCUGUUCUCACUCUCCUCCUUUCGAUGUCAUUCAUCAUGGCCGCCGCUCAACCCGCCGGCUGCAAAAUCCGCAUCACUGACAAAGGACUGGACAUGUUGAAGUUCGAGACUCAGAGGUUUGUUGAAGAGGAGCUGAGCAACAUCAGCAUGCCGAGAUGAUCGGGAAGGAAG